rnacentral:rRNA from 1 species
AGAGUUUGAUCCUGGCUCAGGAUGAACGCUGGCGGCGUGCCUAAUACAUGCAAGUCGAACGCUUCACUUCGGUGAAGAGUGGCGAACGGGUGAGUAAUACAUAAGUAACCUGGCAUCUACAGGGGGAUAACUGAUGGAAACGUCAGCUAAGACCGCAUAGGUGUAGAGAUCACAUGAACUCUAUAUGAAAAGUGCUACGGGACUGGUAGAUGAUGGACUUAUGGCGCAUUAGCUUGUUGGUAGGGUAACGGCCUACCAAGGCGACGAUGCGUAGCCGACCUGAGAGGGUGACCGGCCACACUGGGACUGAGACACGGCCCAGACUCCUACGGGAGGCAGCAGUAGGGAAUUUUCGGCAAUGGGGGAAACCCUGACCGAGCAACGCCGCGUGAAGGAAGAAGUAAUUCGUUAUGUAAACUUCUGUCAUAGAGGAAGAACGGUGGAUAUAGGGAAUGAUAUCCAAGUGACGGUACUCUAUAAGAAAGCCACGGCUAACUACGUGCCAGCAGCCGCGGUAAUACGUAGGUGGCGAGCGUUAUCCGGAAUUAUUGGGCGUAAAGAGGGAGCAGGCGGCACUAAGGGUCUGUGGUGAAAGAUCGAAGCUUAACUUCGGUAAGCCAUGGAAACCGUAGAGCUAGAGUGUGUGAGAGGAUCGUGGAAUUCCAUGUGUAGCGGUGAAAUGCGUAGAUAUAUGGAAGAACACCGGUGGCGAAGGCGGCCGUCUGGUCUGUUGCUGACACUGAAGCACGAAAGCGUGGGGAGCAAAUAGGAUUAGAUACCCUAGUAGUCCACGCCGUAAACGAUGAGAACUAGGUGUUGGGGGAAUAACUCAGUGCCGCAGUUAACGCAAUAAGUUCUCCGCCUGGGGAGUAUGCACGCAAGUGUGAAACUCAAAGGAAUUGACGGGGGCCCGCACAAGCGGUGGAGUAUGUGGUUUAAUUCGAAGCAACGCGAAGAACCUUACCAAGUCUUGACAUCCGCCUGACUGAUCCUUAACCGGAUCUUUCCUUCGGGACAGGCGAGACAGGUGGUGCAUGGUUGUCGUCAGCUCGUGUCGUGAGAUGUUGGGUUAAGUCCCGCAACGAGCGCAACCCCUAUCCUCAGUAGCCAGCAUUUAAGGUGGGCACUCUGGGGAGACUGCCAGGGAUAACCUGGAGGAAGGCGGGGAUGACGUCAAAUCAUCAUGCCCCUUAUGAUUUGGGCUACACACGUGCUACAAUGGCGUAAACAAAGGGAAGCGAGAUUGUGAGAUGGAGCAAAUCCCAAAAAUAACGUCCCAGUUCGGACUGUAGUCUGCAACCCGACUACACGAAGCUGGAAUCGCUAGUAAUCGCGGAUCAGAAUGCCGCGGUGAAUACGUUCCCGGGUCUUGCACACACCGCCCGUCA